GUCUGUGACAGAAAACUGUCCAGUGGUUCACCAAGCCUAAUCCCCUUUCUUUUAGCUCACAGCUGGGCUGUGUUUCCCAGCUUCCCUAAAAGUGAGUUGUGGCCAAGGUAAGUUUUGGGCAAUGGGAUGAGGGCAGAGCAAGGGACAGGUAACCCCUCCAGGCCUGGCCCUCCUUUGUGAUCUGCCUUGCUCUGUUUCUUCCCUCAACUGUAGGUGGAUGCAGGGGAUCAAGAAGAGGAUUCUGAGACCCUAAGGAAUGACAGAGCCGCAAGAUGAAAGAACCUGGGUUCCCCCGUCAUGUCUCUGCACUUGAUGGAUCAGCUGGUGCCAUCCAGAUCGAUAAACUGGCUCAUCCAAUCUCUUGGCCCCCACCCAGGAACUGACUCAGCACAAGAAGACAGCUUAGACUCCCUACGACUUCCUCUCGCAUCCAACCAAUCAGCACUCCUGAGUCACUGGCUGCCCACAGCCCACCAACUUAUCCUUAAAA
rnacentral:lncRNA from 1 species